rnacentral:rRNA from 1 species
AGAGUUUGAUCAUGGCUCAGGAUUAACGCUGGCGGCAUGCCUAAUACAUGCAAGUCGAACGGAAGUAGCAAUACUUUAGUGGCGAACGGGUGAGUAACACGUAUCUAAUCUACCAUUUAGUGGGGGAUAACUGUUGGAAAUGACAGCUAAUACCGCAUAUGUUAUUAGUAUGAAAAACUAAUAAUGAAAGAAGCAGUAAUGCUUUGCUAAUUGAUGAGGAUGCGGCACAUUAGCUAGUUGGUAAGGUAAUGGCUUACCAAGGCAAUGAUGCGUAGCCGGUCUGAGAGGACGAACGGCCACAUUGGGACUGAGACACGGCCCAAACUUCUACGGAAGGCAGCAGUAGGGAAUUUUUCACAAUGGGCGCAAGCCUGAUGGAGCAAUGCCGCGUGACUGAUGAAGGUCUUAGGAUUGUAAAGGUCUGUUGUAAGAGAAGAAAUCCGAUAAUAGGAAAUGAUUAUCGGAUUGACGGUACCUUACCAGAAAGCCACGGCUAACUAUGUGCCAGCAGCCGCGGUAAUACAUAGGUGGCAAGCGUUAUCCGGAUUUAUUGGGCGUAAAGCGUGCGUAGACGGUUAUGCAAGUCUGAGGUUAAAUUUAGGGGCUCAACCCCUAACCGCCUUGGAAACUACAUUACUAGAGUAUAGGAGAGGUUAGUGGAAUUUCAUGUGUAGCGGUGGAAUGCGUAGAUAUAUGAAGGAACACCAGUGGCGAAGGCGGCUAACUGGCCUAUUACUGACGUUGUGGCACGAAAGCGUGGGGAGCAAAUAGGAUUAGGUACCCUAGUAGUCCACGCCGUAAACGAUGAGUACUAAGUGUUGCCAGAAGGCAGUGCUGUAGUUAACGCAUUAAGUACUCCGCGUGAGUAGUAUGCUUGCAAGAGUGAAACUCAAAGGAAUUGACGGGGGCCCGCACAAGUAGCGGAGCAUGUGGUUUAAUUCGACGCAACGCGAAGAACCUUACCUAGACUUGACAUCUUCUGCAUUACCCUUAAUCGGGGAAGUCCUUUCGGGGACAGAAUGACAGGUGGUGCAUGGUUGUCGUCAGCUCGUGUCGUGAGAUGUUGGGUUAAGUCCCGCAACGAGCGCAACCCUUAUUGUUAGUUGCUACCAUUUAGUUGAGCACUCUAGCGAGACUGCCCGGGUUAACCGGGAGGAAGGUGGGGAUGACGUCAAAUCAUCAUGCCCCUUAUGUUUAGGGCUACACACGUGCUACAAUGGCCGGUACAGAGAGACGCAAGACCGCAAGGUGGAGCUAAACUUCAAAACCGGUCUCAGUUCGGAUUGUAGGCUGAAACUCGCCUACAUGAAGCUGGAGUUACUAGUAAUCGCGAAUCAGCAUGUCGCGGUGAAUACGUUCCCGGGCCUUGUACACACCGCCCGUCACACCAUGAGAGUUGGCAAUACCCAAAGUUCGUGAGCUAACCGCAAGGAGGCAGCGACCUAAGGUAGGGUCAGCGAUUGGGGUGAAGUCGUAACAAGGUAAAC